rnacentral:lncRNA from 1 species
GCUCCGACGUGCGUCGUGGCGUCUUUCUCCUCCGUGGCCUGAGUCUGCAUCCUUCAUGGUCUCUUAGGGUGCACGGCUCUGGAUGGUAACGUGUUCCUGCUCACUCGUGUGUUUCUCUAAGGAGACAGAAACACCCGUGAAGUGUUACCAAGCCCUUUCCUCCUCUGCACCACAGAGCGGUUCCUGUUUCCUCACAGAAGAGCCGUUGCUGCCGCUCUGUAUUUAGACCGAAGCCCCCUGGGAAGGACAUUUCAGUGUGGGUGUGAAGUGGGCAGGACACACAGUUUUGUUCCUGGACCGACGUGCAGGUGCCCUGCAUCCUGUAUUGGGAAGGUCACGUUUUCCGCAUUGGGAUUCAGUUCGAACACAUUUGGGGCCGAAAUGCACUGCAGUGACCUCUUCCUCCCUCACCUGGGUCCUCGGGCUGUCAGCAGAGGAAUCCGUGUGGUGUGUAUUCAAAAUGCAGCUGCUGAUGACCCCAGCCCGCACUCCGAGAGGGCCUGUCACAGGGCCACCUGGCCUGGCCCUCCGCCUCUGCCAGGCCACUUGGGCUCCUGGAGAUCACUGUGUGGGGACAGUCGGGGACAGAGCGAGUUUGGGAGUCCCAGCAGUUCAUCCUGAGGUCUUGGCAUUAGUCUCUGUCUCAGUGGCC